rnacentral:rRNA from 1 species
UACGAGAGGCCCAAACGUUAUUCGGAUUUACUGGGCUUAAAGAGUUCGUAGGCGGCGCAGAAAGUAGGGUGUGAAAGCCCUCGGCUCAACCGAGGAAUUGCGCCCUAAACUACUGUGCUUGAGGGACCUAGAGGUGAGCAGAACUGAUGGUGGAGCGGUGAAAUGCGUUGAUAUCAUCAGGAAUACCGGAGGCGAAGGCGGUUCUCUGGGCCUUACCUGACGCUGAGGAGCGAAAGCGUGGGGAGCGAACAGG